GAUGAACGCUGGCGGCGUGCCUAAUACAUGCAAGUCGAGCGAACGGACGAUAAGCUUGCUUCUCUGAUGUUAGCGGCGGACGGGUGAGUAACACGUGGAUAACCUACCUAUAAGACUGGGAUAACUUCGGGAAACCGGAGCUAAUACCGGAUAAUAUUUUGAACCGCAUGGUUCAAAAGUGAAAGACGGUCUUGCUGUCACUUAUAGAUGGAUCCGCGCUGCAUUAGCUAGUUGGUAAGGUAACGGCUUACCAAGGCAACGAUGCAUAGCCGACCUGAGAGGGGGAUCGGCCACACUGGAGCUGGAACACGGUCCAGACUCCUACGGGAGGCAGCAGUAGGGAAUCUUCCGCAAUGGGCGAAAGCCUGACGGAGCAACGCCGCGUGAGUGAUGAAGGUCUUCGGAUCGUAAAACUCUGUUAUUAGGGAAGAACAUAUGUGUAAGUAACUGUGCACAUCUUGACGGUACCUAAUCAGAAAGCCACGGCUAACUACGUG
rnacentral:rRNA from 1 species